rnacentral:rRNA from 1 species
UACGUAGGGGGCAAGCGUUGUCCGGAUUUACUGGGCGUAAAGAGCGCGUAGGCGGAAGUUUAAGCGGUGCCUGAAAGCCCCCGGCUCAACUGGGGAGGGUCACGCGAUACUGAUCGACUCGAAGGCAGGAGAGGGUAGUGGAAUUCCCGGUGUAGUGGUGAAAUGCGUAGAUAUCGGGAGGAACACCAGUGGCGAAGGCGACUACCUGGCCUGUUCUUGACGCUGAGGCGCGAAAGCUACGGGGAGCAAACGGG